CACACACACACAUAUAUAUAUAUCUUUUGCUUUGGAUACAAAAGACCAAGUGACGUCAUAGAAGACAGAAAAAUAACAAUAUCUGUUUUCAAUAAGUUAGCUUUCAUAGCAAAUCUGAGAGACAGUUUACCGUUUGACUCCUGUCCCAAACUAACCUAGUGGGUUCAAAAAGAAAGGACCGCGCUGGAAACAUGAGGAGGUUAAAAGAAUCAGCCCUUUUUGACUUGAUAGCCGAAGUCGUAAACAGCUCGUAUGAAAGGAUUUCUCGACGUAAAAAAGUUGAUUUUAUUCAACAACACCAAGAAACAGAGCUCGCUCAAGAAACAGAAAAGAAAGAGAAAGAUGAAAAAUAUUCUGUUUAACAAUACUGUUGUUUUAUUUAUAAAUUA